GAUAUGAUAAUCACACAUUCAUUAAGAAAGAAAUUAAUUACAGAAUUGAAAAAAUACAACAUUAUAACUUAUUCCAAAAAUGUCACAAAUCUUGUAUAUAUUCCAUGGAUAUUAAUAUUUUAAAUGGGAACUAUUUAUUAAGUUCAAGUCAAGAUAACAUUGGAAUAUAUUAUCUACAUGGGUUAGCCAAGCAUUACCCACUUAUAUUUAAUAUAUCAAACGUUAAAGGAAUAAGAACUGUUCAAUGGUACCCAAUAGAUAAUGGAAUAUUUACAACUAGUGGAGUACAAAAUAAGGUGGAAAUCUGGGAUACCACCAGGCAAAAAUCUGUAGAAUCUUAUACCUUUGAAUAUCCUAUAAACAGUCAUAAUAUAUCUAGGAUUUCAUCCAAUAAUCCAUUAAUAGCAGUCGCAACAAAUAGAAUAUGUCUAAUAGAUAUGUUAAGUGGAUCUCAACUACAAACAUUAAUAGGUGGUCAUAAGAGUGAAGUUAAAUUAAUCCGAUGGUCGAAUUUGUACCAUUAUUUAAUUGUUAGUGCCGACGACAAAAAAAUGAUUUUAUGGGAUAUCAGACGAGGUAAAAGAUUUUUGCACUCAAUCGAUAUCCGCCCCUAUAAUCAUUCAAAACCCUGGGUACAAGGUUUAGAAUUUGGAAAAGAUUGCCACAAGAUUGGUAUGUUAAACAGCGAUGGAAAACUAUAUACAUACGACUUGUUGAAUAUUAAUACCGAAUCAAACGCCAUAAAUUUUGAUAAUAUUAUAGGGAAAGAUCAAGAAAAAUUAUUGAAAAGAUUUAUAAUUGCUGAUAAUUCCUAUAUCGUUCCUUUAAAAAAUAAAAUUAUUAAAUAUAAAGUUGAUAAUGAUGCAUUUAAAGAAUUUAAAAAUGCACAUUUCGGUGAUAUAACUAACUGCAUUGCACAUCCUAUUAAUGAUGGCAUCUUUUACACUUCAUCGUUAGAUGCGAGUAUCCUCGAAUGGUCAAUACAAAAUAUAUAUUAAAAAUAGAAUUAUAUAAAGCAAGGAAUUAUAUAUCAUUUAUCAAUCAAAUAUUGAUCUAAUACAUUGAUUUGUGAUAAUAUGCUUGAAGUGCCAGUUCCGCCGAUAGCCUUAUAUUGUUCCACACUAUUAACCUCAGAUCGACCGCCAAACUCGAAUCAUAAAAACUCAAUAAGCGACAUAAUGAGCCACAAUGGUUGCCAGAAUUUUAUCAAAUAAUGACAUCAAAUCAAAAAAAUAUUUUAUCCAUCGUCUUAACACGCUCUUUGGUUCAGCAAUAUUUAUGAAGUAAUUGUCAUUAGAGAUCUGCAAAA